UACGUAGGUGGCGAGCGUUGUCCGGAUUUACUGGGCGUAAAGGGAGCGUAGGCGGACUUUUAAGUGAGAUGUGAAAUACCCGGGCUCAACUUGGGUGCUGCAUUUCAAACUGGAAGUCUAGGGUGCAGGAGAGGAGAAUGGAAUUCCUAGUGUAGCGGUGAAAUGCGUAGAGAUUAGGAAGAACACCAGUGGCGAAGGCGAUUCUCUGGACUGUAACUGACGCUGAGGCUCGAAAGCGUGGGGAGCAAACAGGAUUAGAUACCCUGGUA
rnacentral:rRNA from 1 species